rnacentral:rRNA from 1 species
UGGGGAAUUUUGGACAAUGGGCGAAAGCCUGAUCCAGCAAUGCCGCGUGCAGGAUGAAGGCCCUCGGGUUGUAAACUGCUUUUGUACGGAACGAAAAGCCUGGGGCCAAUACCCCCGGGUNAUGACGGUACCGUAAGAAUAAGCACCGGCUAACUACGUGCCAA